rnacentral:rRNA from 1 species
GACGGAGGGGGCAAGCGUUGUCCGGACUCACUGGGCGUAAAGGGUGCGCAGGCGGUCGCCUGCGUCGGCGCUGAAAGCGCCCGGCUUAACCGGGCGAGGUGCGCCGAUACGAGGCGACUGGAGGCAUGGCGAGGGUGGGAGAACUCCUGGUGUAGUGGUGAAAUGCGUAGAGAUCAGGAAGAACACCCGUGGCGCAAGCGCCCACCUGGCCAUGACCUGACGCUGAGGCACGAAAGCGUGGGGAGCGAACCGG